GACGUAGGGCGCGAGCGUUGUCCGGAUUUAUUGGGCGUAAAGAGCUCGUAGGCGGCUUGUUGCGUCGACUGUGAAAACCCGCGGCUUAACUGCGGGCUUGCAGUUGAUACGGGGCAGGCUAGAGUUCGGUAGGGGAGACUGGAAUUCCUGGUGUAGCGGUGAAAUGCGCAGAUAUCGGGAAGAACACCCGUGGCGAAGGCGGCUCUCUGGGCCGUAACUGACGCUGAGGUGCGAAAGCGUGGGGAGCAAACAGGGAUUAGAAACCCU
rnacentral:rRNA from 1 species